UCUCUACUAUGACACCUACAGACAGCCCCAAAUAUGUGAUGACCUCUGCUCACCCUGACACGGUCCUGACUGAAAACAGCUAGCUGGUUCUUACCUGCACGGCUCGUUCCGACCUCCAUGCAACCACCUACACCUGGAUCCAGAUCAGUGCAGGAGAGACCAGGAUAGUGGGGCUGGUCCAGAGGUUGAUGGUGAUGUCCACAACCCCAUCCCAUAGUGUACUGUACAGCUGUACUGCCUAAAUCCCAACAGGUUGAAGUUAAAGUCAAGUGAAGUGUCUUCCAUGUCCUCCCUCGUCCUUCGUUUCUGCUGUGUUCCGCUUGUUCUUUUACUCAUCUUUUUGGUCUACACGGCUGGCGUAAUGGCACAAGUGAGAACCUGGUGAGUGAAGGGGGUGCAGCAGCAUCAGACCCCCCGGAGAGCAGCAGAGAUCAGCUGUGACCAGACGGCCCGUACCACCCAGAGCCCCUACCCCAACCGCAGCAUCCCCAUCCCAGCAGGACGUCGGGUCCAGACAGCACGUCGACCUCUGACAUGUACACUGCGUAGUGUUCUGAAGGUACCAGGUGGAAAGCAGGGUCUUUCACCUAGCCAUCCAAUCAGAAACAAAGAUGGACACACAGGACACACGCAGGAACAUGAAGUCAACUAUGCCUCGC
rnacentral:lncRNA from 1 species